rnacentral:lncRNA from 1 species
UUCCCAAACGCUAUGUUUGGCUCCCGGGAACAGUAGUCCCCGAGAAUCUGGAACUAGCUGGUAUAAGGCUGGAACUACUGUUCCACUCGUUUUCUGGAACAAGCUUGUUCCUUGAUGAGAACAAGAUUAAUUAAAAUCUAAAUUGAAUUUUAAUGGCAGUAAAUUAUUAAUUAAUCUAAUUAAUAUAUUUAAAUUAUUAUUUAUUAUUUUAAUAAUUAAAUAAUUAAAUAAUUUAUUAUUUAUAAUU